rnacentral:rRNA from 1 species
ACUCCUACGGGAGGCAGCAGUGGGGAAUAUUGCACAAUGGGCGCAAGCCUGAUGCAGCAACGCCGUGUGAGUGAAGAAGGUUUUCGGAUCGUAAAACUCUGUCCUAAGGGAAGAAACAAAUGACGGUACCUUAGGAGGAAGCCCCGGCUAACUACGUGCCAGCAGCCGCGGUAAUACGUAGGGGGCAAGCGUUAUCCGGAAUCACUGGGCGUAAAGGGUGCGUAGGCGGCUUAGCAAGCCAGGGGUGAAAGGCAUUGGCUCAACCAAUGUAAGCCUUUGGAACUGUUAAGCUUGAGUGCAGGAGAGGUAAGUGGAAUUCCUAGUGUAGAGGUGAAAUUCGUAGAUAUUAGGAGGAACACCAGUGGCGAAGGCGACUUACUGGACUGUAACUGACGCUGAUGCACGAAAGCGUGGGUAGCGAACAGGAUUAGAUACCCUGGU